rnacentral:rRNA from 1 species
GAUGAACGCUGGCGGCGUGCCUAAUACAUGCAAGUCGAGCGAACGGACGAGAAGCUUGCUUCUCUGAUGUUAGCGGCGGACGGGUGAGUAACACGUGGAUAACCUACCUAUAAGACUGGGAUAACUUCGGGAAACCGGAGCUAAUACCGGAUAAUAUUUUGAACCGCAUGGUUCAAAAGUGAAGGACGGUCUUGCUGUCACUUAUAGAUGGAUCCGCGCUGCAUUAGCUAGUUGGUAAGGUAACGGCUUACCAAGGCAACGAUGCAUAGCCGACCUGAGAGGGUGAUCGGCCACACUGGAACUGAGACACGGUCCAGACUCCUACGGGAGGCAGCAGUAGGGAAUCUUCCGCAGUGGGCGAAAGCCUGACGGAGCAACGCCGCGUGAGUGAUGAAGGUCUUCGGAUCGUAAAACUCUGUUAUUAGGGAAGAACAUAUGUGUAAGUAACUGUGUACAUCUUGACGGUACCUAAUCAGAAAGCCACGGCUAACUACGUG